UAUAAACUCAGUUGUUAAAUAUAUAUGUAAGUUUUUUUUUUAUCAUUUUCAGACUCCCGCGCCUUCAAGUCAGGCGCCUUCAAGUCAGUCAAGCGCUAAAUCACUGGGAGGUGCUGCCACUGGGGCUGCAGUAGGAACUGUUGCCGGUCCCGCUGGAGCUGCUGUUGGUGCAGCAGUUGGAUGGCUAUUGGGAAAACUCGCGGAAUAACAGAAUUGUUCAUUGUCAGUUGAACAGAUUUUGAGAAGGUUAAUCAACAUUCAAUCAUUGAAAACUUGAUUUGAGACAUUUAUUGUGCAUACCUUUUUAAUGUCCAUUGUUAUGGCGAGAUACUAAGAUUUCAGAUAUGAUGUCCUUUUGUAUUGAAUUAAUGAUUAUUUGUGUGUGUGUGUGUGUGUGUGUGUGUGUGUGUGUGCGCGCGCGUGUGUGCAUGCGUCUGUGUGUAUGUGUGAGUGUGCGCAAAAUAAAAGAGUCGGAAAGAAAAACAAUUAUAAGAAAUAGUACAUGGAACACAAACCGAGGAAUAUUUAUUUUGUCUUCGAAUGAAUGUAAUUCAUGUAUGAUUUUCUUAAGGUGUGGAUUUAAAUCAGUGGUUAUGUGACAUAAUAACUACAGUUAAAUUCAUAUGUAGUUUAUUUUGAAAAGUUCAAACGUUUAUUUGUAUUAUUUGUAUGAAAAAAAAACGAAUUUUACUUCAACUAUUUAUGUUUUAAUGUCCAGUACAUGUAAUUGUACAUGAGGCGGGAAAAAUUAGAAAUUAAAAAAAAUGUUUUCACAAUUCGAACUUGUAAGUAUUUUUAUCGAAUGUUAAACCAUAUAUGUUAAAAUAGCUUAAUAGUGAUAAGGUUUCUUUUUCUAUAUAACCAUAUCUUGACACUUUAAUUAGCAAAAGUUAUGUUUGUUUUUGUCCAUGUUAUUCUGGAAAAAUGCCGCAAUGUGCUACUGGGUUAUUUCAUUUCAUUAUAAAUGCACAUGUUGCAAACAACUUCAUCCGUAGUAUUUUACCUUUUCACUUUUGCAGCGGUUUUUUUGUAACAUACACCUCGCUUUUAUUUAGUGUUUGCUAUAUACAUUCAGUAUCAAGCAUGAUAUCAGUUAUUCUAACAUGAUAUUUUAACAUGAUUUUAAAUACAAUUAUCAUACAUUAAUUUUAUGAUAAUAUCAUUCCAAUAUAAAUUAAGAUUCAUAUAACAGUUUAACUUUGAUUUACCCUUGUCCGUCCGUCCUUCCGUCCGUCCUUUCUCAUUUUAUAUUGUACGUAGGUCAAAAAGUAAGGUUGCUCAGCAUGUGAGGUUGUGCAAAUAGAUAUUUUCAAGUGGAUUUAUUAAAUAUUUGUAGAGUUAUUGCCCUUGACUUAGUAAAAGUUUAAAAAUUCAAACUAGUGCCGCACGUAGCUGAAAAAUUAUUUGACCCAGGACCAUGGCCAUGAACAUUACAGGAAUGUUAAUUAGCAUGUGUAGUUGUGCACCUAAGUAUUUUGAUGUGGAUAUAAUAAUAUUUAUAGAGAUUUUGCCCUUGACUUAGUAAAAUUUACAAUUUUCAACUUGUGUCGCACGUAACUCAAAAAAGUAUUUGACCUAAAAACAUGAAACUUUGCAGGUUGCUCAGCAUGUGAAGUUGUGCACCUUGAGUUUCGAUUAUGGAUUUAUUCUGCUUUUUUCGAAGUUAUUGCUCUUUACAUAAAAACAAUUGUAAUUUUUGUGUCUCAUCUACUUCUCCGUCGUCUGUCUGUCUGUCUGUCUGUCCGUCCGUC